rnacentral:rRNA from 1 species
GACGAACGCUGGCGGCGUGCUUAACACAUGCAAGUCGAACGGAAAGGCCCUGCUUUUGUGGGGUGCUCGAGUGGCGAACGGGUGAGUAACACGUGAGUAACCUGCCCUUGACUUUGGGAUAACUUCAGGAAACUGGGGCUAAUACCGGAUAGGAGCUCCUGCUGCAUGGUGGGGGUUGGAAAGUUUCGGCGGUUGGGGAUGGACUCGCGGCUUAUCAGCUUGUUGGUGGGGUAGUGGCUUACCAAGGCUUUGACGGGUAGCCGGCCUGAGAGGGUGACCGGCCACAUUGGGACUGAGAUACGGCCCAGACUCCUACGGGAGGCAGCAGUGGGGAAUAUUGCACAAUGGGCGGAAGCCUGAUGCAGCAACGCCGCGUGCGGGAUGACGGCCUUCGGGUUGUAAACCGCUUUCGCCUGCGACGAAGCGUGAGUGACGGUAAUGGGUAAAGAAGCACCGGCUAACUACGUGCCAGCAGCCGCGGUGAUACGUAGGGUGCGAGCGUUGUCCGGAUUUAUUGGGCGUAAAGGGCUCGUAGGUGGUUGAUCGCGUCGGAAGUGUAAUCUUGGGGCUUAACCCUGAGCGUGCUUUCGAUACGGGUUGACUUGAGGAAGGUAGGGGAGAAUGGAAUUCCUGGUGGAGCGUGGAAUGCGCAGAUAUCAGGAGGAACACCAGUGGCGAAGGCGGUUCUCUGGGCCUUUCCUGACGCUGAGGAGCGAAAGCGUGGGGAGCGAACAGGCUUAGAUACCCUGGUAGUCCACGCUGUAAACGGUGGGUACUAGGUGUGGGGUCCAUUCCACGGGUUCCGUGCCGUAGCUAACGCUUUAAGUACCCCGCCUGGGGAGUACGGCCGCAAGGCUAAAACUCAAAGGAAUUGACGGGGCCCCGCACAAGCGGCGGAGCAUGCGGAUUAAUUCGAUGCAACGCGUAGAACCUUACCUGGGUUUGACAUGGAUCGGGAGUGCUCAGAGAUGGGUGUGCCUCUUUUGGGGUCGGUUCACAGGUGGUGCAUGCCUGUCGUCAGCUCGUGUCGUGAGAUGUUGGGUUAAGUCCCGCAACGAGCGCAACCCUUGUUCACUGUUGCCAGCACGUUAUGGUGGGGACUCAGUGGAGACCGCCGGGGUCAACUCGGAGGAAGGUGGGGAUGACGUCAAGUCAUCAUGCCCCUUAUGUCCAGGGCUUCACGCAUGCUACAAUGGCUGGUACAGAGAGUGGCGAGCCUGUGAGGGUGAGCGAAUCUCGGAAAGCCGGUCUCAGUUCGGAUUGGGGUCUGCAACUCGACCUCAUGAAGUCGGAGUCGCUAGUAAUCGCAGAUCAGCAACGCUGCGGUGAAUAAGUUCCCGGG